UGAGGAAUCUUGCGCAAUGGGCGAAAGCCUGACGCAGCCACGCCGCGUGCCGGAUGAAGGCCCUAUGGGUUGUAAACGGCUUUUACUAGGGAAGAACGAGAGGGUUUCGAUCUUCUGUGACGGUACCUAGUGAAUAAGCACCGGCUAACUCCGUGCCAGCAGCCGCGGUAAUACGGAGGGUGCAAGCGUUGUCCGGAAUCAUUGGGUGUAAAGGGUACGUAGGCGGGAGCCUAAGUCUGGGGUGAAAUCUUGCCGCUUAACGGUAAAAUGGCCCUGGAUACUGGGUUUCUUGAGUGCAGAAGAGGCAGGUGGAAUUCGUGGUGUAGCGGUGAAAUGCUUAGAUAUCACGA
rnacentral:rRNA from 1 species